GCAGGUUAUAUGUCAUUAUGAUGGUAGAAUUCUACCAAAGAAACAAAUCUGCUACAAGGGGUGCACAGUGAGGAUCUAUAUGAUAUCAAUUAUUUAACGAUAAAUUUUAUUUUAAAAACGUAUAUCAUAAACGUGCACCCCACAUUUCCUUUUGUUAAUCAUAUUAAUAAUGAAUAUUACAAGUUCAAAUUUUGUGACUCUAUACACUUCUUUGCGUGUUCAACAAGUAGAAAUUUAAAUUUUAUUAUUCAACUAGAGUAUUCAAAGAGCCUAUGUCGAUCACCUGCAUCUUCAACAAUGCAUACUUGGUAGUAACGUAACAAAACUCUAUUAAAAGUUAACCAACACUUUCAGUCAUGUUGACAUAGUUUUAAAUCGUAUCCUGUUGAAAAUAUUUCCUUUUCAAAGUGUUUGUAAACUUUUUUUGUUUGAAAAUUGCUGUUGAAGGGCAAUAUAUUCAAUAAGGAGUCGUCUAACAAUGUCGGUCAUGGUGACUUAUUACUAUAGAACUUUCUUGCUGAUCACUUUUGCUAUUUGAAGUUUCUAUCUAUCUAAGAUAUUAGGCAAAAACGGAAAAUAAUAUGUCGAAAAUCGUCAUCAUAGGACAAUAACUCUAAUAAAGAGUUGAUUCAAGAUUUCGACUAUAUUUGACUUUUUUUUAGAGCUUGUCUGAUAUUUUGUUGUUGUUUAAAAAGUUUCUGUCCACCUAUUGUUAUCUUCGAGAUUUGUAAAAUUGAUCAUUUAAAGAUAACAAAUCUUAUCAGAAGUCGUUGGAUAGUUUUGACAUAGUGACAUGAACAAUAGGUAGAGUUUAACAUUCUUAUCAUCUUAGCCAUAGUCAUAUAUUUUCUUUUCAUAGCGGUUUUCAAUAUAACAAGCAAAACUACUUGCAUUUUCUAUUUUUAGCCAUGUCGGCUAUCUUAAUUUGCAAGUGAGGACAGUGGCUACAGUAGACACUCCGAUUAUGAUUGUAGCCAAGUUUGGUAAAAUUUGUCAAGUAGAUUUAGAGGAGAGUAUUUUUUUAAAAGAUAAAAGACGUACGACAAACGCUAACCUAAGUGAUGAAAAAUGUUCACCUAGGCUUUUAUAUCAGAUGAGCUGAAAUGGAAUCUCAAAGACUUUGCCAUUUUAUUUGCAUUCAGUUUAUGAAAAUACCAUUACAUUUAAUAAGAACAAUAUCAUAUAAGAUUAU
rnacentral:lncRNA from 1 species